GCAUAUCAAUAAGCGGAGGAAAAGAUUCAACUACUGAUUCCUUAGUACGGCGAGUGACCGGGAAAAGCUCAAAUUUGUAAUCUGGCUGUCUUCGAUAGUCCGAGUUGUAAUCUAUAGACGUGUUUUCCGUGCUGGACCGUAUCUAAGUCCCUUGGAACAGGGUAUCAAAGAGGGUGACAAUCCCGUGCUUGAUACGACCACCAGUGCUCUGUGAUACACGCUCUACGAGUCGAGUUGUUUGGGAAUGCAGCUCAAAAUGGGUGGUAAAUUCCAUCUAAAGCUAAAUAUUGGCGAGAGACCGAUAGCGAACAAGUACCGUGAGGGAAAGAUGAAAAGCACUUUGGAAAGAGAGUUAAACAGUACGUGAAAUUGUUGAAAGGGAAACGAUUGAAGUCAGUCGUGUUCUUUGGAUUCAGCUAGUUCUUCUAGUCUACUUCCUUUGAACGGGUCAACAUCAGUUUUGUCCGGUGGAUAAAGAUAGUAGGAAUGUAGCUCCCUCGGGAGUGUUAUAGACUAUUAUUGCAUGCACUGGGUGAGACUGAGGACUGCAGCUCGCCUUUUGGCCGGCCUUCGGGUACGUUCGAGCUUAGGAUGUUGACAUAAUGGCUUUAAACGACCCGUCUUGAAACACGGACC
rnacentral:rRNA from 1 species